CUCGUAGGCGGUUUGUCGCGUCUGCUGUGAAAUCCCGAGGCUCAACCUCGGGCCUGCAGUGGGUACGGGCAGACUAGAGUGCGGUAGGGGAGAUUGGAAUUCCUGGUGUAGCGGUGGAAUGCGCAGAUAUCAGGAGGAACACCGAUGGCGAAGGCAGAUCUCUGGGCCGUAACUGACGCUGAGGAGCGAAAGGGUGGGGAGCAAACAGGCUUAGAUACCCUGGUAGUCCACCCCGUAAACGUUGGGAACUAGUUGUGGGGUCCAUUCCACGGAUUCCGUGACGCAGCUAACGCAUUAAGUUCCCCGCCUGGGGAGUACGGCCGCAAGGCUAAA
rnacentral:rRNA from 1 species